GAUGAACGCUGGCGGCGUGCCUAAUACAUGCAAGUCGAGCGAACAGACGAGGAGCUUGCUCCUCUGACGUUAGCGGCGGACGGGUGAGUAACACGUGGAUAACCUACCUAUAAGACUGGGAUAACUUCGGGUAACCGGAGCUAAUACCGGAUAAUAUAUUGAACCGCAUGGUUCAAUAGUGAAAGACGGUUUUGCUGUCACUUAUAGAUGGAUCCGCGCCGCAUUAGCUAGUUGGUAAGGUAACGGCUUACCAAGGCAACGAUGCGUAGCCGACCUGAGAGGGUGAUCGGCCACACUGGAACUGAGACACGGUCCAGACUCCUACGGGAGGCAGCAGUAGGGAAUCUUCCGCAAUGGGCGAAAGCCUGACGGAGCAACGCCGCGUGAGUGAUGAAGGUCUUCGGAUCGUAAAACUCUGUUAUUAGGGAAGAACAAAUGUGUAAGUAACUAUGCACGUCUUGACGGUACCUAAUCAGAAAACCACGGCUAACUACGU
rnacentral:rRNA from 1 species